rnacentral:lncRNA from 1 species
UCUUUGUACAAUUUGAAGUAUAUAUAUUUCUUGUUAGGUGCUCCUGGCGAUGCUGAUUUUUUUUCUUUCAUUCACUGCAUAUAUUUAAAGGUAUGAAGAUAAGAGAUGGGUUGCAAAGGACAGUAAGCCCAGAUCACCUUCUAGACUGCUAGAAGAGAAAACUGCUUCACAAUGGCAAAAGCCUGUGGAAAGAGCUGGGCAUAAUUAUGUUGCUGAGAAUACUUUUAACGAAAGGAAGAAAUACCAACCAUCAAAUGCAAUUCCUGCUAUUAGAAUUAGUGUUCCUGCUCCUCCUAAAGGACCUGAGCAGGUCUCUCUAUCCCUAUAUCUCUGUUGAUUUUACAUAUUCUUGUGCUGCUGUGUAUGUCAUUGUGUAGUUGUACAGUCAGAGUCGAGUCACUAGUAUCUUUUUAGCAGUAUAAUUUUUAUAAGGGAAAACACAGAGUUCAAUUAUCAACCUUGGUGCUAUAAUAAAUAAAUCUCUUAACCUGAAAUUUUAGGUUGUUACACCUUUACUUUUAAGAAAAGUGUCCCAAUAGGGACUUGUGCAUCCUAAAUUCCCAGUUUUAGAUUUUUUGUUACACCAAGGUAACCCUCCAUGCAACUGUGAACACUAACCUUUGAGAUAACUGAGAUGAACUUACGACGUUAACAUCUCCCAUUAUAAGUUUUUCCACAUGCACGGGCCAGAGAUCGAACUCCUAACCAAAUGAUACAACGUAGAUUAUGGAGAUUUGAUUUGUACUUGUGAUGAUGGUCUAUUAGCCUAGUCUUGUAUCUAAAUAUUUGACUAGCCUAGCCUUAUAUAAGAAAUUAGGAUGAUUAUCUUCAUAUUUGAUUUGACCCUUUCCUUAUUUUUAGCGUAGCCUUGUAUCUAAAUAUUUCAAUAUUCUUUGUGAAUGAAGAAUGAAUUAAUUAGAAAUACAAUUUCCCUAAUACUACCUCUGAUCCUCAUUUGGUAUCAAAGUUUAUGCUCAAUAGGUCUGGUAAAAAGUCAUAAAACCCUAAUUCUCUUGUCAGUUGCCUACAAUUGGUGACCCUAUUUCUUGCACGCUGUUUGAGCCAACAACUUUAUCGAAGUGUGAGAUUCGCACGCCACCUCCCUAAGCUCAGGUGAUGUUAUUGCAGGUCCCAUUUUAUUUGUCUGCCAUUCCCUGUUUUGACCUAGUUAAGUAAGUGGGAACCCUUAUCUCCAGUGCAUCACCUCUAUUUGCCAAUAUCUUAUCGUUACAAUUCUAGUUUCUACAUCUCUCUGUUAUCUGUGUGCUGUCUAAGAUGAGUCAAAACCAAAAUCAUCACAUAGGGAGCUCAGUAAAUUAGGAACCUUUUUUAAGAGCCUUUUGUCCUUUGUUUUCUCAGGAAAAAUCCCUCUAUAAUGUCAAAGAAACUAAAUGGCGAAAGUUAUUUAAAGUGAUUGAUUGUUGUCAAACAUAUAUUUUUUGGUCAAAGACUCAGAUCAUUUCACCAUAGAAGUCUUCAGAAAUUGAUAAAGAGUUGUGUGAUGAUUGGGAGCAAGUAGGCUAUCAAUUAGUCUAUCUUAUGUGGGAAUCCGUUGAACCUUCCUUGUUGGUUCACUUUCACUCAUAUUCAAUUGUUAUGUUUUUUGGUAGAAGGCUAAGAUUAUCUAUUCAAAUGAUAUCAACUGCUUUAUGAUGUUUUUCAUUAUAUAGCCACUCUAAAGGUGACAAAGGAUAGUAUCAUAUCUUAUGCUAAUAGAGCUCAGUUAGCUAUUAACAAGUUUUUUCUUCUUGUGGCUGAUAAGGACUCAGAAGAUGAUUGAGAAACUUGAUAGUGUCUGCACGAUCUAUGAGAAUUGUCAAAAUAUGUUUCUAUUUAAUAUCCUUCAAGUAUAGGGAUUUAGUUGAAUAGGAGUAAUAGUAGGGAUUUAGUUGAAUAAGAGUAAUAGUAGGGAUUUAGUUGAAUAGGAGUAAUAGUAGGGAUUCAGUUAUAUAGGAGUACUAGUAGGGAUUUAGUUAUAUAUGAGUAAUUAUAGGGUUUGGUUGUUUAGUAAUCUAGUAUAAAUAUAUCUGAUGUAUUACCAAUAUUUUUCAAGUUUCAAUAAAUAUAAUUUUAUUCUAAUUCUUGACAUGGUAUCAGAGCAUGUUCUGAUUUUGUGAUUUGUCUUUGUGCUUCACUACCGCUGCCGGCGGCAGCAAAUGCCGCCGGCAGCACCACUUUUUUCAGUGUUUCAAUUUUUUGGCUUCAUACAGUCAUUUGUCACCAUCAACUCCGGCUGCCUUUCUAGCAACCAGCCACGACGCUACAGCUUCCCUCAAAAGCACCGCUUUCCCUGUGUGUUUUUUUUUUACUUUAAAUUCUAUGCAGGUAUUGGAAGGACUUCUUAAAUUACCAGAGAAUAGGGAGUGUGCUGACUGCAAAGCUAAGUAUGUAUCUGGCUUAAACUUAAUGACACCAUUGCUAUUUUUCAUUCUCAUGACAGUAGGAAACCAAGAAAAGAGACACUAUUCCGUUUGAGGAUAUUGGAUUAUCUUUGUAUUAAACAUUUUCAAGAUUAUUUUCUAAUUUUAUUUCUUGUUUUUCUACGAAAAAUUUGAUUUGCAGAGGCCCAAGAUGGGCUAGUGUCAAUCUUGGCAUCUUUAUUUGCAUGCAGUGUUCAGGAAUACAUCGAAGUCUUGGGGUACACAUUUCAAAGGUAAUAAUGUUAUGUUCCUUUGUAUGGUAAGUGGUUGAGAUCUAUGAGAAAGCAAGUCAUGAGGGAGAGUUUGUGUGUUAUGGUUGUCUCAUAUGGAAAUAUAAUCUCUCUGAAUUCAAUUACAUUAAGUAUGUUGUUUGCAUUAUGGCUAUGUUGCUCCAAUUGUAUAGCAGAAUAUUAAUUUAAGAGUCUAUACUAAAUGUUUUGUUUUGAGAUUUGAGUUACUGUGUUGUUUUUAUGCUCGUGUAACUCACUUGUUAGCUAAAUGCUGACAUAUGGUUUCCAAAUGAGCAACAUUAAUGAAUAUGCAUUCCUUAACUGGUAGUUUGCCUCAUGCUUUUUUUGUUACAAGCAUGUAGCACUGCUGUGGGGAAUCUGUUUGUCAAUAUAUGGUUAGACAGUUAUUUCUUUUUUAAUGUGGAUUUAACGAUUGCUAGGGUGUUAAUCUACUUGGUUCAAGAAAACUUUCAUUAUAAUUUUUUUCCUUUUCAAUUUAAAAUCAAUUACUAAUUCGACGUGGAACUACUGAAAAAUACUCCUAGGUCCUUUCUUUUUGAAUUUUUGUUAUAAUAGUUUCAGUAUUUAUACUUCUAUUUUAACUAAAGGCUGCUCUAAAUUUCAACUUGUUGCUAGUAUAAUGUUUUUAUUAUAUGCUUACUUAAUAGUUUUUCUGCAGGUUCGCUCUGCUACUUUGGACACCUGGCUUCCAGAUCAGGUUGCAUUCAUUCAAUGUAAGGGAAUCUUAAUGUCCAUGACCUUCUGGUAAUUGAGUUUUGCUAGUUUAUAUACUCUUCUCACUGUAUUUGAAUUUCUGUGCUUUGUUUUAAAAAGCUAUGGGAAAUGAGAAAGCAAAUAGUUACUGGGAAGCAGAAUUACCCCCAAAUUAUGACAGAGUUGGCAUUGAAAAUUUCAUUCGUGCAAAGUAUGUUUGUUGAUACUUUGAAUCAGACUGAUUUUUUAUUAUUUUUAUAAAUUUAAUUUAAUCUUUGUACAAUUUGAAGUAUAUAUAUUUCUUGUUAGGUGCUCCUGGCGAUGCUGAUUUUUUUUCUUUCAUUCACUGCAUAUAUUUAAAGGUAUGAAGAUAAGAGAUGGGUUGCAAAGGACAGUAAGCCCAGAUCACCUUCUAGACUGCUAGAAGAGAAAACUGCUUCACAAUGGCAAAAGCCUGUGGAAAGAGCUGGGCAUAAUUAUGUUGCUGAGAAUACUUUUAACGAAAGGAAGAAAUACCAACCAUCAAAUGCAAUUCCUGCUAUUAGAAUUAGUGUUCCUGCUCCUCCUAAAGGACCUGAGCAGGUCUCUCUAUCCCUAUAUCUCUG